UACGUAGGGCGCAAGCGUUGUCCGGAUUCAUUGGGCGUAAAGCGCGCGCAGGCGGCCCGGUGUGCCGCCCGUGAAAUCCCCCGGCUCAACCGGGGGGGGUCGGGCGGGACUGCCGGGCUGGAGGCGGGUAGGGGAGAGCGGAAUUCCCGGUGUAGUGGUGGAAUGCGUAGAGAUCGGGAGGAACACCAGUGGCGAAGGCGGCUAUCUGGACAGUAACCGACGCUGAGGCGCGAAAGCUAGGGGAGCAAACAGG
rnacentral:rRNA from 1 species